CAGGGAAUAUUGCACAAUGGGCGAAAGCCUGAUGCAGCAACGCCGCGUGCGCGAUGACGGCCUUCGGGUUGUAAAGCGCUUUUCGGGGAGAUGAGGAAGGACAGUAUCCCCGGAAUAAGGCUCGGCUAACUACGUGCCAGCAGCCGCGGUAACACGUAGGAGCCAAGCGUUAUCCGAAUUCACUGGGCGUAAAGCGCGUGUAGGCGGCUUGGUAAGUUGGAUGUGAAAGCUCCUGGCUCAACUGGAGAGGACGUUCAAUACUGCCGGGCUAGAGGGCGACAGAGGGAGGUGGAAUUCCCGGUGUAGUGGUGGAAUGCGUAGAUAUCGGGAGGAACACCAGUGGCGAAAGCGGCCUCCUGGGUCGCACCUGACGCUCAGACGCGAAAGCUAGGGGAGCGAACGG
rnacentral:rRNA from 1 species